AUUGAACGCUGGCGGCAGGCCUAACACAUGCAAGUCGAACGAGUGGCGGACGGGUGAGUAAUGUCUGGGAACCUGCCCGAUGGAGGGGGAUAACUACUGGAAACGGUAGCUAAUACCGCCUACCAUCGGAUGUGCCCAGAUGGGAUUCGCUAGUAGGUGGGGUAACGGCUCACCUAGGAGACGAUCCCUAGCUGGGCUGAGUGGAUGAACAGCCACACUGGAACUGAAACACGGUCCAGACUCCUACGGGAGGCGGCAGUGGAGAGUGUUGCACAAUGGGGGCAAGCCUGAUGCAGCCAUGCCGCGUGUAUGAAGAAGGCCUUCGGGUUGUAAAGUACUUUCAGCGAGGAGGCGUUACUCGCAGAAGAAGCACCGGCUAACUCCGUGCCAGCAGCCGCGGUAAUAC
rnacentral:rRNA from 1 species